GGGGGCACCCUGGCGGCGAGCGGCGAACGGGUGAGUAAUACAUCGGAACGUACCCAGGAGUGGGGGAUAACACAUCGAAAGAUGUGCUAAUACCGCAUACGCCCUGAGGGGGAAAGCGGGGGAUCGCAAGACCUCGCGCUGUUGGAGCGGCCGAUGUCGGAUUAGCUAGUUGGUAGGGUAAAGGCCUACCAAGGCGACGAUCCGUAGCUGGUCUGAGAGGAUGAUCAGCCACACUGGGACUGAGACACGGCCCAGACUCCUACGGGAGGCAGCAGUGGGGAAUUUUGGACAAUGGGGGCAACCCUGAUCCAGCCAUUCCGCGUGAGUGAAGAAGGCCUUCGGGUUGUAAAGCUCUUUCGGCAGGAACGAAACGGCGGGCUCUAACAUGGCCUGUCAAUGACGGUACCUGAAGAAGAAGCACCGGCUAACUACGUGCCAGCAGCCGCGGUAAUACGUAGGGUGCGAGCGUUAAUCGGAAUUACUGGGCGUAAAGCGUGCGCAGGCGGUUUUGUAAGACAGCUGUGAAAUCCCCGGGCUUAACCUGGGAACUGCGGUUGUGACUGCAAGACUAGAGUGCGGCAGAGGGGGGUGGAAUUCCACGUGUAGCAGUGAAAUGCGUAGAGAUGUGGAGGAACACCGAUGGCGAAGGCAGCCCCCUGGGUUGACACUGACGCUCAUGCACGAAAGCGUGGGUAGCAAACAGGAUUAGAUACCCUGGUAGUCCACGCCCUAAACGAUGCCAACUAGGUGUUGGGGGAAGGAGACUUCCUUAGUACCGUAGCUAACGCGUGAAGUUGGCCGCCUGGGGAGUACGGUCGCAAGAUUAAAACUCAAAGGAAUUGACGGGGACCCGCACAAGCGGUGGAUGAAGGUGGAUUAAUUCGAUGC
rnacentral:rRNA from 1 species